rnacentral:rRNA from 1 species
UUCCAGACUCCUACGGGAGGCAGCAGUGAGGAAUAUUGGUCAAUGGGCGGGAGCCUGAACCAGCCAUGCCGCGUGAAGGCGAGUGCCCUACGGGCGUUAAACUUCUUUUGUGCGGGAGCAAUAAGGGCCACGCGUGGCCCGAUGAGAGUACCGCACGAAUAAGCAUCGGCUAACUCCGUGCCAGCAGCCGCGGUAAUACGGGGGAUGCGAGCGUUAUCCGGAUUUAUUGGGUUUAAAGGGAGCGUAGAUGGGUUGUUAAGUCAGUUGUGAAAGUUUGCGGCUCAACCGUAAAAUUGCAAUUGAUACUGGCAGUCUUGAGUACAGUUGAGGUAGGCGGAAUUCGUGGUGUAGCGGUGAAAUGCUUAGAUAUCACGAAGAACCCCGAUUGCGAAGGCAGCUUACUAAACUGUGACUGACAUUGAUGCUCGAAAGUGUGGGUAUCAAACAGGAUUAGAUACCCCGGUAA